AAGCCAUGCAUGUCUAAGUAUAAGCAAUCUAUACCGUGAAACUGCGAAUGGCUCAUUAAAUCAGUUAUCGUUUAUUUGAUAGUACCUUACUACUUGGAUAACCGUGGUAAUUCUAGAGCUAAUACAUGCUAAAAACCCCGACUUCGGAAAGGGUGUAUUUAUUAGAUAAAAAACCAAUGCCCUUCGGGGCUCCUUGGUGAUUCAUAAUAACUUAACGAAUCGCAUAGCCUUGUGCUGGCGAUGGUUCAUUCAAAUUUCUGCCCUAUCAACUUUCGAUUGUAAGGUAUUGGCUUACAAUGGUUU
rnacentral:rRNA from 1 species